rnacentral:rRNA from 1 species
GCUGGCGGCAGGCCUAACACAUGCAAGUCGAGCGGUAGCACAGAGAGCUUGCUCUCGGGUGACGAGCGGCGGACGGGUGAGUAAUGUCUGGGAAACUGCCUGAUGGAGGGGGAUAACUACUGGAAACGGUAGCUAAUACCGCAUAACGUCGCAAGACCAAAGUGGGGGACCUUCGGGCCUCAUGCCAUCAGAUGUGCCCAGAUGGGAUUAGCUAGUAGGUGGGGUAACGGCUCACCUAGGCGACGAUCCCUAGCUGGUCUGAGAGGAUGACCAGCCACACUGGAACUGAGACACGGUCCAGACUCCUACGGGAGGCAGCAGUGGGGAAUAUUGCACAAUGGGCGCAAGCCUGAUGCAGCCAUGCCGCGUGUGUGAAGAAGGCCUUCGGGUUGUAAAGCACUUUCAGCGGGGAGGAAGGCGAUAAGGUUAAUAACCUUGUCGAUUGACGUUACCCGCAGAAGAAGCACCGGCUAACUCCGUGCCAGCAGCCGCGGUAAUACGGAGGGUGCAAGCGUUAAUCGGAAUUACUGGGCGUAAAGCGCACGCAGGCGGUCUGUCAAGUCGGAUGUGAAAUCCCCGGGCUCAACCUGGGAACUGCAUUCGAAACUGGCAGGCUAGAGUCUUGUAGAGGGGGGUAGAAUUCCAGGUGUAGCGGUGAAAUGCGUAGAGAUCUGGAGGAAUACCGGUGGCGAAGGCGGCCCCCUGGACAAAGACUGACGCUCAGGUGCGAAAGCGUGGGGAGCAAACAGGAUUAGAUACCCUGGUAGUCCACGCCGUAAACGAUGUCGAUUUGGAGGUUGUGCCCUUGAGGCGUGGCUUCCGGAGCUAACGCGUUAAAUCGACCGCCUGGGGAGUACGGCCGCAAGGUUAAAACUCAAAUGAAUUGACGGGGGCCCGCACAAGCGGUGGAGCAUGUGGUUUAAUUCGAUGCAACGCGAAGAACCUUACCUGGUCUUGACAUCCACAGAACUUUCCAGAGAUGGAUUGGUGCCUUCGGGAACUGUGAGACAGGUGCUGCAUGGCUGUCGUCAGCUCGUGUUGUGAAAUGUUGGGUUAAGUCCCGCAACGAGCGCAACCCUUAUCCUUUGUUGCCAGCGGUUAGGCCGGGAACUCAAAGGAGACUGCCAGUGAUAAACUGGAGGAAGGUGGGGAUGACGUCAAGUCAUCAUGGCCCUUACGACCAGGGCUACACACGUGCUACAAUGGCAUAUACAAAGAGAAGCGACCUCGCGAGAGCAAGCGGACCUCAUAAAGUAUGUCGUAGUCCGGAUUGGAGUCUGCAACUCGACUCCAUGAAGUCGGAAUCGCUAGUAAUCGUAGAUCAGAAUGCUACGGUGAAUACG